AUUGAACGCUGGCGGCAGGCUUAACACAUGCAAGUCGAGCGGGGUGAUGGUGCUUGCACUAUCACUUAGCGGCGGACGGGUGAGUAAUGCUUAGGAAUCUGCCUAUUAGUGGGGGACAACAUCUCGAAAGGGAUGCUAAUACCGCAUACGUCCUACGGGAGAAAGCAGGGGAUCACUUGUGACCUUGCGCUAAUAGAUGAGCCUAAGUCGGAUUAGCUAGUUGGUGGGGUAAAGGCCUACCAAGGCGACGAUCUGUAGCGGGUCUGAGAGGAUGAUCCUCCACACUGGGACUGAGACACGGCCCAGACUCCUACGGGAGGCAGCAGUGGGGAGUAUUGGACAAUGGGGGGAACCCUGAUCCAGCCAUGCCGCGUGUGUGAAGAAGGCCUUAUGGUUGUAAAGCACUUUAAGCGAGGAGGAGGCUCUUUUGGUUAAUACCCAAGAUGAGUGGACGUUACUCGCAGAAUAAGCACCGGCUAACUCUGUGCCAGCCGCCGCAGUAA
rnacentral:rRNA from 1 species